UAAGGUUGUCGAAAUUCUACCCAGUGGA
rnacentral:sRNA from 1 species